rnacentral:rRNA from 1 species
CAUGUAGGCGGUCAGGUUAGUGGGACGUGAAAUGCCCCGGCUCACCCGGGGACCUGCGUCCCAAACUGCCUGGCUUGAGUAUGGGAGAGGAUGUGGGAAUUCCUGGUGUAGCGGUGAAAUGCGUAGAUAUCAGGAGGAACACCGGUGGCGAAGGCGCACAUCUGGCCCAAUACUGACGCUGAGGCGCGAAAGCUAGGGAGCAAACG